CGCACGGGUGAGUAACACGUAUGCAACCUACCUGCCACAGCCGGAUAAUCGGGAGAAAUUCCGUCUAAUACGGCAUAAUGCAUCGACGGGACAUCCUGUUGGUGCCAAAGGUUGAUUCCGGUGGCGGAUGGGCAUGCGUCGCAUUAGUUAGUUGGCGGUGUAACGGACCACCAAGACGACGAUGCGUAGGGGUUCUGAGAGGAAGGUCCCCCACACUGGUACUGAGACACGGACCAGACUCCUACGGGAGGCAGCAG
rnacentral:rRNA from 1 species